rnacentral:lncRNA from 1 species
UAAAAGACUUGACCUCAACUGCUUAUUAUUAUGAUUUCAGUAAGAAAAUCGUGUAUUCAGACAAUGCUCCAGAGGUAAAUAUGCUGCCAGCAUCCGGUCUAAAGUCGCCCUCACUCUCUCAAGAGGAAAUACAGGAGGAGUGGUCUUCCAUGGAGUGUCCAAUCAAAGCUACCCAAUUGUUAUGCACCAAGGGAAUGGCAUCCAAGGAGAGAGUGUCCUUGGAGAGAAAGGUUCUCAAAAAACUGAAACCAAACCCAACCACUCCUCAAGAAAAACAUGAUUGCAGCAUAAUUUUGACACCGAAGCAAAUUCAUCAAGUAAUUGUCGGGCCCUCUGUCCUUAACUUUGGUAAUAUUUGUGUGAACUCCACAAAUACGCAUUCAUUGCAUCUUAUUAAUAUGCUGUCUAUGCAUAUUUUGAUUCAGUUAGAUAUCAAUUUUGAAGAACUUAAGAAAACUAAAAUAUUUUCACAUGUGAUUCCUCCUACAUCUAGUACUCACAUUCCAAUAAUAUUUGAAGCUUCUGCCAUUGGAAAAUUUUGGAGGUCUUUCGCCUUUACAGUAAACAGCACACCUGGUGGGCACAUUUUAGUGACCGCAGAAGUCCUGCCUAUAAAACUUGAGCUUUCUUCGGAUGAGAUAGUGUUGAAACCACGAGGUUUCUUGGUGAAAACAUGCUUCUGGGGGACAGUUAAGUUGUAUAAUCAUCAGAAUAAGUCUGCGCAGUUUGGAUGGCAACCAGUAAACUCACUAAACGGGAUAGCGUUUUCCAUUCGUCCAGCUAAAGGUAAUGGUUGAUUCUUUUCGUAUUUGAUUUAUAUGUGUGCUCAUUCAUUCAUUCAUUCAUUCAU